rnacentral:rRNA from 1 species
GAUUAGGUAGGAAUACCCGCUGAACUUAAGCAUAUCAAUAAGCGGAGGAAAAGAAACCAACAGGGAUUGCCCUAGUAACGGCGAGUGAAGCGGCAACAGCUCAAAUUUGAAAUCUGGCCCUAGCGGUCCGAGUUGUAAUUUGUAGAGGAUGCUUUUGGUUAGGUGCCUUCUGAGUUCCCUGGAACGGGACGCCAGAGAGGGUGAGAGCCCCGUACGGUUGGACACCGAGCCUCUAUAUAGCUCCUUCGACGAGUCGAGUAGUUUGGGAAUGCUGCUCUAAAUGGGAGGUAAAUUUCUUCUAAAGCUAAAUACCGGCCAGAGACCGAUAGCGCACAAGUAGAGUGAUCGAAAGAUGAAAAGUACUUUGAAAAGAGGGUUAAAUAGCACGUGAAAUUGUUGAAAGGGAAGCGUUUGCGACCAGACUUUUUCCAGGCGGAUCAUCCGGUGUUCUCACCGGUGCACUUCGCCUGGUUUAGGCCAGCAUCGGUUCUCUUAGGGGGAUAAAGGCCUGGGGAACGUAGCUCCUUCGGGAGUGUUAUAGCCCCUAGCGUAAUACCCUUCGGGGGACCGAGGAACGCG